rnacentral:lncRNA from 1 species
UUUAGAAUCUCAAAUUAUAACUCUAUUUGUGUUAUAGGCUGCUUUAUCAACUAAUAAGAAUAAGUGAUCUAAAUUAAUUGAAAUUCACAAAAACAGACAAAAUGGAAAUCAAAGCUCGCAAAUGGAAACUUACUGUCACAGUAUUCAUAAUCGAUGGAACAUAAAGCAGGUAAAAAGAAAAGUGAUACGAAUAGAAGAAGCACAGGUUGGAUUUUAGACAUCGCCAUGGAUCUGCCCGUUGACCUUCUACAAGGAAAAGCUUCUUUUUUUUUUUGUAUUU